AAACUUUCAACAACGGAUCUCUUGGUUCUGGCAUCGAUGAAGAACGCAGCGAAAUGCGAUAAGUAAUGUGAAUUGCAGAAUUCAGUGAAUCAUCGAAUUAUUGAUCGCACAUUGCGCCCGCCAGUAUUCUGGCGGGCAUGCCUGUCCGAGCGUCAUU
rnacentral:rRNA from 1 species